rnacentral:rRNA from 1 species
GGGCUCACACAAGCGGUGGAGCAUGUGGUUUAAUUCGAUGAUACGCGAGGAACCUUACCAGGUCUUAAAUGCAUAACGAACGAUUGGGAAACCAAUCUUUCUUCGGACGGAAUGCAAGGUGCUGCAUGGUUGUCGUCAGCUCGUGCCGUGAGGUGUCAGGUUAAGUCCUAUAACGAGCGCAACCCCUAUUCUUAGUUGCCAGCGGUUCGGCCGGGGACUCUAAGAAAACUGCCAGUGCAAGCUGUGAGGAAGGUGGGGAUGACGUCAAAUCAUCACGGCCCUUACGACCUGGGCCACACACGUGCUACAAUGGUAGGUACAAAGGGCAGCCACUUGGCGACAAGGAGCUAAUCUCUAAAACCUAUCUCAGUUCGGAUUGGAGUCUGAAACUCGACUCUAUGAAGCUGGAAUCGCUAGUAA